CUAAUUACUCUACACGCCUCCUCUGUUUCUCUCUCACACUCAGUAACUCUCUCUCUCUCUCACUCGUUCAAUCUUUCUUUCUUUCUCUCUGUUUGUUGCAGGUGUGUAACAAGGUGAUGGGGCCUGCGGCUUGGGUCAUGUGACAGGGAGGCUCGACUCUUGGGUCUACGGCGUGGCUGUCUUCCUCCGUCUCAUCUACCACAACUUCCCUCCCCAUGUUUCGCCGACUCCGACGGAGAUUGACUUGCAGAGCAAUGGUCCAGCAGGCUGUACAGGGAGGAGCUCCAGCUGCUUACGCCCAAGAAAUGGAGAGGCUAACCGCUAAAGAAUCCCUUCUUCUUGCUGUUGCCAUUCUUGGAGGGUCGGUGGGAUUUUUUUCAGGGCUGAUGUCUUCCACGCAGUAGUUGAGGACAACAUCAACACCAGAAAUGGCGAUGGUUUGGCUGAUGAUCAUAGUCAUGAGAACCGAAGUGAUAGCUCUGAUGCUCAUCCAGGAGUUGAAGAGAGUGAUUCUUCUGAAGAUGAGGUUGCUCCUCGAAAUACAAUUGGAGAUGUGCCCUUGGUGUGGUAUCGGGAUGAAAAACAUAUUGGUUAUGA